rnacentral:rRNA from 1 species
AGACCCCUCUUCGGAGCAUGUAUACAGGUGGUGCAUGGUUGUCGUCAGCUCGUGUCGUGAGAUGUUGGGUUAAGUCCCGCAACGAGCGCAACCCCUGUUCUUAGUUGCCAGCACGUUAAGGUGGGAACUCUAAGAAGACUGCCGGUGAUAAAUCGGAGGAAGGUGGGGACGACGUCAAAUCAUCAUGCCCUUUAUGUCCUGGGCUACACACGUACUACAAUGGCUAUAACAAAGGGAAGCGAGACCGCGAGGUGGAGCAAAACCCAAAAAAGUAGUCUCAGUUCGGAUUGGAGGCUGAAAUUCGCCUCCAUGAAGCCGGAAUUGCUAGUAAUGGCAGGUCAGCAUACUGCCGUGAAUACGUUCCCGGGCCUUGUACACACCGCCCGUCACACCAUGAGAGUUGGGAAUACCCGAAGCCUGUGAGCUAACUUUUUAAGAGGCAGCAGUCGAAGGUAGAAUCAAUGAUUGGGGUGAAGUCGUAACAAGGUAGCCGUAUCGGAAGGUGCGGCUGGAUCA